GGCGACAUCUAGGCGGAGGGGAUACGAGCAGCGCGUGGAUCUGGGCAACCUCCAAGGAUAGCGAGGCAGAGAGGGAAGGGGUUCAGAUGAGGAGCUCCGAAAUGGCCCCACAACAGCAGAGUUGAAGCAUUAAGGUAGCUAUUAUGGCCCAUCCACCGCCAGAGCUCCUCUUCAGCUGCAGAUACGGUGAUAUCUGGUCUACAACAAAUACAGGCUCUUUUCUGUAUCACAAGAGAAGCUUAUCCGUAUUCCGGAAACGUCGGUUCUACUUUCUUAUGUGACCUCCAUCUCUCCAGCUAUGGAGCUAAUUUAAUAGGCCUCAAUUAAAUAACGAGGGAAGGUGAUUUCAAACAGUACCCCACUGUAAGAGUUUCAUUGGAUCAGAGUUUAUUUCAGUAUAACCAUGGAUAUGAGAUUAUUUUCUGUAUUUGUUAUUUGCAGUGACUUUCCCUAUGUUAUUCUUGAAUGUGGCUACAGAGGAGCUGAAGAUGCGAUAUGUCAUGUCGCUGCAAGAUAGCUGUUUCGUCUUCAGAUUUUCUGUCAGUGUAAUUAUUGGG